GAUGAACGCUGGCGGCGUGCCUAAUACAUGCAAGUCGAGCGAACAGACGAGGAGCUUGCUCCUCUGACGUUAGCGGCGGACGGGUGAGUAACACGUGGAUAACCUACCUAUAAGACUGGGAUAACUUCGGGAAACCGGAGCUAAUACCGGAUAAUAUAUUGAACCGCAUGGUUCAAUAGUGAAAGACGGUUUUGCUGUCACUUAUAGAUGGAUCCGCGCCGCAUUAGCUAGUUGGUAAGGUAACGGCUUACCAAGGCAACGAUGCGUAGCCGACCUGAGAGAGUGAUCAGCAACACUGGAACUGAGACACGGUCCAGACUCCUACGGGAGGCAGCAGUAGGGAAUCUUCCGCAAUGGGCGAAAGCUUGACGGAGCAAAGCCGCGUGAGUGAUGAAGGUCUUCGGAUCGUAAAACUCUGUUAUUAGGGAAGAACAAAUGUGUAAGUAACUAUGCACGUCUUGACGGUACCUAAUCAGAAAGCCACGGCUAACUGCGUG
rnacentral:rRNA from 1 species